rnacentral:sRNA from 1 species
AUUUGCUAGUCAGACAAGUGACAGGGAUGGAUUCCAAACACCAGUGUGUGAAGCUAAAUGAUGGCCACUUCAUGCCUGUAUUGGGAUUUGGCACCUAUGCACCUCCAGAGGUUCCGAGAAGUAAAGCUUUGGAGGUUACAAAAUUAGCAAUAGAAGCUGGGUUCCACCAUAUAGAUUCUGCUCAUUUAUACAAUAAUGAGGAGCAGGUUGGACUGGCCAUCCGAAGCAAGAUUGCAGAUGGCAGUGUGAAGAGAGAAGACAUAUUCUACACUUCAAAGGCCAUGGAGAAGUGUAAGGAUGCAGGAUUGGCCAAGUCCAUUGGGGUGUCAAACUUCAACCGCAGGCAGCUGGAGAUGAUCCUCAACAAGCCAGGACUCAAGUACAAGCCCGUCUGCAACCAGGUGAGCUCCCUCGGCCUCCUCUCCUUUCGGUUCUUCAUGACCGUCUUCCUGUCCUAUUGCCAAAUAUCUGUUUGUUUUGUCCCACUUAUCUUUGUGAAGCAGAAGAUUCUAGAGAGCAAAGUUUCUGUCAAGAAAGGCAUGAAGAUUUCUUAUUUGUACUCUGCUCAGAAAAGUAUUAGGGAAAAAUUGGAAUGAGUUUAAUGUUGAAUCGUUUGUAAUAUUUAGGGGAGGUCCACUUGAUCAGGGAGGCCUGGAAUCAUCAAUUAGAACUCAAGGAAAGGUGGACUUACCUCUAAGCUAUGAAAGAUGACCAGAGAGUGCAUGGGUGAAGGUGAUUUGGAGGGAGUGGUGUAUAGAUAUGAAGCUAUGAAAAGAUGAAAUGAGCUGUACAUAGACAGUUAGAAUAAGAGAAGAGAGGUACUAGGGGUUUACCUGGA